rnacentral:piRNA from 1 species
UGACAAUGGUUACAAUUGGGUGGAAGUGGU